CGCGUGGGAAUGUGCCCUAAAGUGAGGGAUAACGCACCGAAAGGUGUGCUAAUACCGCAUACGGUCUUCGGAUUAAAGAAUUUAUUCGCUUUAGGAGCAGCCCGCGUCGGAUUAGCUAGUUGGUGAGGUAACGGCCCACCAAGGCGACGAUCCAUAGCUGGUCUGAGAGGAUGAUCAGCCACACUGGGACUGAGACACGGCCCAGACUCCUACGGGAGGCAGCAGUGGGGAAUAUUGGACAAUGGGCGAAAGCCUGAUCCAGCCAUGCCGCGUGCAGGGUGAAGGCCUUCGGGUUGUAAACUGCUUUUGUACGGAACGAAAAGACUCUGGUUAAUACCAGGGGUCCAUGACGGUACCGUAAGAAUAAGCACCGGCUAACUACGUG
rnacentral:rRNA from 1 species